GGCGGCAUGGCUCCGGACCGGGGCCUGGCCUCGGCGACACCGUGGCCGCGGGAGAAGCCCAGGACAGGGACCCAGGCGGGGGCUCCCGGCCCCGGUACCGUCGGAGCCCGCCGCUUCCUGCUUUGUCUCUACCUGGUGGGAUUCCUGGUACUGUUAUCCCCAUUUUUUACAGAUGGCAGCACCGACGCUGGUAACAUGAAAUAACUUUCCAAGGGCACAUGCUUAGAGUUGUUUGGUGUGAGCACGGUCGUCCCUUUACUGAGCCUUCGUGUCAAGUCUUUUGGAGCGAGUCCAGCAGUUGCUGGAAUAGUAGGCUCCUCCUGCGGCGUUUUGCAGUUCUUUUCCAGCACAUUGGUGGUAAGUCCUCUUCCACCUGGCAACACAUGUUGAAAGUAUAACCCUACGCCUCUGAGGCCACCCAUCAUGGCUGUAGUAAAAUAGGGGGUUGAGGUUUACCAAAAAGGAAGUGUGCAGAUGGUGAGGACUGGCAGUGCCCUUAUUUCAAGAAGGAUCCCUCGGUCAUCUCUCUCCCUCAGUUGACCUCUGAGAAGACAUAGGCCUGAAGAGAUUGCGUGGCUGGAUCUGAAAGGACUCGCUGAGUCAGAAUGAGAGCCCGCUUUUUAAAUUGUAACAUGUUUUUCCCAUGAUUCCCUGCCAAAUUUGUACUAGGAGAAAAGAAUGCAAACAGAAGUUAUUACCAGUUUUGUUUGUUUCAAUUAAUUGACAGUCAUCAAAUCCAUUCAGAUCUUAGGAUUCUAUUUGAAGUUGGGCCUUUUUGAACUACAUGGCUUAUCAAUUAUAAAACUUAAGUGUAUAGACGGAGGAGCCACUGGGAGUGGUGGGUUGUACACCGACCGCAGGGGGUAGAAAGAUCCAGAGCUGAUCUCGCCACUGCCACUUCUCACCACGCAGUAGUUUGCAGUUCAGAACCUUUCACUGAUGCGCCCCUUCUUUCCUGCUCCUGUGUGCCCUCCAGUGCACCAUGCUGGUCCUGAGGCCUCGGCGUCCAGUCAUUCGUGCAGUACAAACAGAAUGGUCAGUUUUGUCCCAGGGAUUGAUCAGCUGUGACCUUGGUCUAAAUAGCUGGUCUCACAGUGAGUAAACACCAUGUACAUACAACACUGUGUUCCCGAAGAGUGGCUCAUGUGUAAAAUAUAUUUUAUUAUUUGUUUUUGUUAAUGAAUUUAUUUGUUUA